GACGAACGCUGGCGGCGUGCCUAAUACAUGCAAGUAGAACGCUGAAGGAGGAGCUUGCUUCUCUGGAUGAGUUGCGAACGGGUGAGUAACGCGUAGGUAACCUGCCUGGUAGCGGGGGAUAACUAUUGGAAACGAUAGCUAAUACCGCAUAAUAGCAGUUGUUGCAUGACAACUGUUUGAAAGGUGCAAUUGCACCACUACCAGAUGGACCUGCGUUGUAUUAGCUAGUUGGUGGGGUAACGGCUCACCAAGGCGACGAUACAUAGCCGACCUGAGAGGGUGAUCGGCCACACUGGGACUGAGACACGGCCCAGACUCCUACGGGAGGCAGCAGUAGGGAAUCUUCGGCAAUGGACGGAAGUCUGACCGAGCAACGCCGCGUGAGGGAAGAAGGUUUUCGGAUCGUAAAGCUCUGUUGUAAGAGAAGAACGAGUGUGAGAGUGGAAAGUUCACACUGUGACGGUAUCUUACCAGAAAGGGACGGCUAACUACGUG
rnacentral:rRNA from 1 species